UACGUAGGGGGCUAGCGUUGUCCGGAAUCAUUGGGCGUAAAGCGCGUGUAGGCGGUCCGGUAAGUCCGCUGUGAAAGUCGGGGGCUCAACCCUCGGAUGCCGGUGGAUGCUGUCGGGCUUGAGUACGGAAGAGGCGAGUGGAAUUCCUGGUGUAGCGGUGAAAUGCGCAGAUAUCAGGAGGAACACCGAUGGCGAAGGCAGGUCUCUGGGCCACUACUGACGCUGAGAAGCGAAAGCGUGGGGAGCGAACAGG
rnacentral:rRNA from 1 species